rnacentral:rRNA from 1 species
UUACGGGAGGCAGCAGUGGGGAAUAUUGCACAAUGGGCGAAAGCCUGAUGCAGCGACGCCGCGUGAGGGAUGACGGCCUUCGGGUUGUAAACCUCUUUCAGCAGGGAAGAAGCGCAAGUGACGGUACCUGCAGAAGAAGCACCGGCUAACUACGUGCCAGCAGCCGCGGUAAUACGUAGGGUGCGAGCGUUGUCCGGAAUUAUUGGGCGUAAAGAGCUUGUAGGCGGCUUGUCGCGUCUGCUGUGAAAAUCCGAGGCUCAACCUCGGACUUGCAGUGGGUACGGGCAGGCUAGAGUGUGGUAGGGGAGACUGGAAUUCCUGGUGUAGCGGUGAAAUGCGCAGAUAUCAGGAGGAACACCGAUGGCGAAGGCAGGUCUCUGGGCCACUACUGACGCUGAGAAGCGAAAGCAUGGGGAGCGAACAGGAUUAGAUACCCUGGUAGG